AGCAGAACUCUGGGCCCCUCACAAAGGGAGUCUGUGUGCCAUCUGGUAAUGAUUUCCCUGCGGCCAGGGCCUAGUUAAAAAUCAACCAAAUACAAACAUGGCUCUGAUUACGUCCACACAUCAAGAGUUUAUCAUCUAGAGAAAAACAGAAGGAAGAAAAUACAGAGUGGACAUUCUUGCCUCACCAAAAAUUAACUCUGUCCUACAUUCACCAAAGUUCUUGAACUAAAGUUCAACCAAUUGUGGCUGUCAAUUGGUUUAAUCUGUGGAUGCAGAACCCACAGACAGAAAUAAAUCUGCAUUCACUGGACCCUCCAAUGUCAAACCUGAGAUGUUCAAGGGUUAACUGUGCUCACAGAGUCCCUACUCUGUGCUGGGGAUGGACCAUGCUGAAGAACAGAUGAGGGACAGGACCUUCUUCUCUCUCCCUAAACUCCAUGAAAUAAUGGGAGCUCUCUUUUCUUUGGGAUAGCUGUUAUGGUCCCUUUGUGCCUCCCUCGUGGCAUUAAAGAAGCAUGUUUGGACUUUUCCAGUGGAGUGAUUUAUGAACACAUCUUCACUCCCCUAGACUUUCUGGCAUGAUCCAUCUGGACUUGAAUCAUGAUUAAAAUUCCUGACCACAGUUGCGUGACCUUAAUGAGUUACUCAACCUUUCUGUGCUCACUCUCCUGAUCUGUAAAGUGACCUCGCAAGGGAGCAAUUCUGGCCCAGGUGACAGUGGCGGUUGAUUCCAGGACCCAGAACAUGGGGAAUAAAAGAGUGUCUGCAGUGUCAAAUUCACGGGUAUCCAUAAAUCAACUCAACGGACCUUAUAAUUUGGGAAUUACAAGAAGUACUGUUCUUUAAUAGAAAUCUAAAAAUAAAGAUGGAUUCAUUUUUUUAA